rnacentral:tRNA from 1 species
GAAGGGAUAGCUCAGUGGUACAGCAUGUCCUUAGCAUACAGGAGGUCCUGGGUUCAAUCCCCAGUCCCUCCA